rnacentral:lncRNA from 1 species
CUCACUCUCCGGGCGGGUGCUGGACGGACGGACGGACGGGGCAGCCGUGCUCACAGCUCAGCAGCGCGGGGCCUUGGCGCGCGGGGCGCUUCCCCGGGUCGCCGUCAUGGCCGCGGAGGUGGCACGCCCGAGCGGCCUCGCCUGAGCUCCGGGGGUCGUCGCCCCGCAGGGUAGGUGUUUGGGUGCUCGCGGCUGCGGCGGGCGGGCUGGGGGCAGCGGUGGCCGUGCAUUGCCGCGCUGCGAGGACGGCGCUGGGUUCGCGGCCGCGAGGAGGGUGUGCCUUUGCCGCGCCGCCUACGUGCGGGUCCGGGCUCCGCGGGGCCGGGUGCGGGACCCCGCAGAUCGUCACCCGCAACCCAGGCAGCCCCACCGCGAGUGCCGCCGGACCCCCUGGACGCCGCUGCCAGAGGCGUUCGCGCCUAUCUGGUAUGAGGUCCACAGACCCGAUUCUUACAACCUGGCGCUCUAACCUCGCCAACGGGCCAGGAAAAAAACAGAACAAGGAAAAGAAGAAAAAGUCUGUUCCAAGUAAUAAUGGGACUAGACAGUAACUGUUUGCACUUUCGUCUCUUAUGGAAAAUAUGAUUAUUUUGAUGCUUUAGUAUUACAGACUGUAUCAGACAUACUCUUAAAAGUAUUUAAAAACGUGGGGUCCUAAAAAUUUCCUAGAUCGGGACAGCUGAUAAUGCGACUUCUGUUAGUCUCCGCAUCCAACUUUCAGGGCGGAAUGGGGAUUUCUACCUUUUACUGAAUAUACUCCUGUAAUUUUGAAUAUUUUUUCUCAUCAAAUGUGUUACUUUCAUGUUUUAGGAAACCAAUAAAAAUCAAAAAUAGAAACACCCAGCUUAGGUCCUCCUUCUUCCAGGAAUCCUCCUCUAACCCCUCCCUCCCAGGCAGGAUCGGAGGCCCCUCCCGGGUGCUUUCUGGGGCCUCACUGAGGUCCUGGUCCCCUAAGUCCUCCCCCGCAGCCCCUCCGCGUAUUAACCCACCGGUCUCGCUGGGCUCAGAGAUUGCUUACUUAGCACAUGGUAAGUGAUUAAUACUGUUUAAUGACCGAGGGAAAAGAUAAAAUGUUCUCUGAUGUUUCACGCUUUUCGCUCUGAAGUUAAAUAGUGGUAAAUUUAUAUGCGCUUAGAUAAGAACAUUUAACAGUUAAGGAUCUGGAAAAGUUGACGACGUCCGAUGUCCGUGUUUCCUGAUCCAGCAGUUGCACGCCUGGGUAUUCAUCCUUAAGAACAAUGUUUUUCAGAAUUUGAAGUCCAUUUUAGUGGGUCGUAAAGUCAUUUAAAUGGAUGAUCAGAAUUUGUAAAACACAGACGGAGAAUAGAACAUCAGUGUCUCUCAGGUCAUAGGGGUGUUCGCUUUAUGAAUCUCUCUCCCCCUCCUCAGUUUCAUACAUACACAAAUGUGUGUCAUGAUGUAAAACGUCAUUCCUUAGUAUGAGUCAUGGACAAAAAAGUUUGAAAGCCACUGCCCUAGAUAAAUUUUAAUACAUGUCCACAAGCAGACGUGUACAAGAAGGUUGACUGUAAUGGCAGAAAACUGGAUGCCGCCUUCAUGCCUACCUGAAGGAGAAAGAUAAAUUAUACACCACUCAUAAAAAGGGCACACUGUACAGUGGCCAAUGAAGUAUUUUUGUGUUUCAACACAAAUGCCUUUCAGUGUUGAACCAAAAAAAAAAAAAGUUGCCGGAGAAUGCUGUGUGAUAUCUUCUAUGUAAAAUUCAGAACCUGGUGGAGCAAAGCUGUUGUUUAGGGAUGCAUGUAUAGGCAUUAAAAGUAGUAAAGAAAAAAAGUCAAGCUAAUGGUCAUCUCCUAGUGGGGAGGAGAGGGUCAGGGGCUCAGAGAUGCUGGAAAUGCUUUAUCGCCUGACCUGUGCAAUGGUUACAUGGGUGUUUGCUUUGUAACUCUUUGUUAAAUGAUACACACUGGGUUUGAAUGUUACAUUUCCCCCCAAAUAUGUUAAAAUAUGGGUGUUGCAAACUGAAGAAGCCUGAGUCUAGGGCUCUCCGUCUGUUAUUCUUAUUUCCUGGCUUCUUUUUAGAAAAAAAAAAUCUUGCUCAGGGAGGAGUACCUAGGGAAUUUAUCAGUAAUGUUUUAUUUCAUAAAUUCCAUGGUGGACAUACCAGUAUUCAUUAAAUUAUUCUUUAUGUAUUCUUAUAACUUAAUUUAUAAUAUUUCAAAAAGCAUUUAGGAGAAAACAUCAUUUGGUGUGUUUGCUUUCCCAAAAGUCACAUUUACAUGUUUUGUACACAACUGGAAUAUUUUAUAUAGUAAUUUUAGCUAAAAUCAAAUUUUGUUAUGAAAAACGAAAUACUAAAAAGUAUAUAAAAAUCACAGAACUUUACAGACUUUCAGCGUUUUAAAAUGCUAACAUAUUGUAUUUACCUCAAUAAUUUCUGUUCCUCAGUUCUUUCAGGCCACAUUUUUAGUGCUCAAUAGCCUCAUAUGACUUUAAUAUUUUAUUAUAUUUUAUUAUGUUAUAUAUUUUACAUUAUACAUUAUAGAACAGAAUAUUUCCAUCAUUGCAGAAAUUUAUAUUGGAAAACAUUCUGGAUACAAAUAUUUGUUAUAUACUUGCAGAUAUUAAACUGUAGACAUUAAUCCUUAUGCUUUUUGUCUUAAGAUACUCUACUAUUAAUGAAAUGUAUUCUGAAUAUUUUUCUAAGAAUUUUUAAGUUUAUGUUUUGUCCACAUUUUGUUCUUUAAUUUACCUGAGACAUGUAUAUAUUGAGAUGUAUAUAUUUUAUGUUAUGAGAUCAAGCUUAAUUAAUUUUCAGAUUCCCACAUGAAAAGGUAAUUGUCCCAAUAUCAGUGAUUAGCAGUGCCACUUCUGUCACAUACAGUACCCAGAUAUGUUUGGGCUUAUUUCCAGGCUGUUAAUCCUGGUUUAUUUGUCAUUUGAAAAUACUGCAGAUUUUCAUUUACUGCUGCUUUCUAUGUAGUAUAUUGUUCAGUUCUAAGAAUUUAAGAUUUUUUCAUUGUGAUAUUUUUUCUUCCCCUAAGAGAUUUGUAGAAAGUAGUCUAGUUCCAAUGUGGAAGGUUUUGUGAGUUAUCCUUUUGUUACUGAUUUCUAAUUUGCACUGUAGUUAGCAUACGUGUCAAGGCCAACAAUUCUUUGAAAUUCGAGAAUUGCUUUAUGGUUUUAACUGCUCCUUGUAUCAUCAAGAAUAAUUUGUACUCACAGACUUUUGAGGCAAUGUAUGUAGGUGUGUGUAUAUAUAUAAUAUAUACACAUACACUUUAUAUAUAGAUUAUAUAUAAUCUCUCUGUAGAGUUUAUAUAAAAAUUAAAUAUAUUUAUAUAAAUGUAUAUAUAUAUAUGAAUAAAAUCUCCUGUCUCUAA